UUAGAGUUUGAUCCUGGCUCAGGAUGAACGCUAGCUACAGGCUUAACACAUGCAAGUCGAGGGGAAACGGCAUUGAGUGCUUGCACUCUUUGGACGUCGACCGGCGCACGGGUGAGUAACGCGUAUCCAACCUUCCCAUUACUGUGGGAUACCCUGCCGAAAGGCAGACUAAUACCGCAUAGUCUUCGAUGACGGCAUCAGAUUUGAAGUAAAGAUUUAUCGGUAAAGGAUGGGGAUGCGUCUGAUUAGCUUGUUGGUGAGGUAAAGGCUCACCAAGGCAACGAUCAGUAGGGGUUCUGAGAGGAAGGUCCCCCACAUUGGAACUGAGACACGGUCCAAACUCCUACGGGAGGCAGCAGUGAGGAAUAUUGGUCAAUGGGCGCAAGCCUGAACCAGCCAAGUAGCGUGCAGGAAGACGGCCCUAUGGGUUGUAAACUGCUUUUAUACGAGAAUAAUUUGAUGCACGUGUGCGUUAUUGCAUGUAUCGUAUGAAUAAGGACCGGCUAAUUCCGUGCCAGCAGCCGCGGUAAUACGGAAGGUCCAGGCGUUAUCCGGAUUUAUUGGGUUUAAAGGGAGUGUAGGCGGUUUGUUAAGCGUGUUGUGAAAUUUAGGUGCUCAACAUUUAACUUGCAGCGCGAACCGUCAGACUUGAGUACACGCAACGUAUGCGGAAUUCAUGGUGUAGCGGUGAAAUGCUUAGAUAUCAUGAAGAACUCCGAUUGCGAAGGCAGCAUACGGGAGUGUAACUGACGCUUAAGCUCGAAGGUGCGGGUAUCGAACAGGAUUAGAUACCCUGGUAGUCCACGCCGUAAA
rnacentral:rRNA from 1 species